rnacentral:rRNA from 1 species
CCUACGGGUGGCAGCAGUCGGGAAUAUUGCGCAAUGGACGAGACUCUGACGCAGUGACGCCGCGUGCAGGAAGACGGUUUUCUGGUUGUUAACUGUCUUAGACAGGGAAGAAAAAAGACAGUACCUUUAGAAUAAGCUCCGGCUCAAUGCGGGCCAGCAGCCGCGGUAAUACGUAGGGAGCAAGCGUUAUCCGGAUUUAUUGGGGUUAAAGGGUGCGUAGACGGAGAAGCAAGUUAGUUGUGAAAUCCCACGGCUUAAAUGAGGAACUGCAACUCAACCUAGUUCCCUUGAGUACUGGAGAGGAAAGUGGAAUUCGUGGUGUAGCGGUGAAAUGCGUAGAUAUUAGGAGGAACACCGGUGGCGAAGGCGACUUUCUGGACAGUAACUGACGUUGAGGCACGAAAGUGUGGGGAGCGAACAGGAUUAGAUACCCUUGUAGUC